rnacentral:rRNA from 1 species
AGAGUUUGAUCCUGGCUCAGGACGAACGCUGGCGGCGCGCCUAACACAUGCAAGUCGAACGAGCGAGAGAGAGCUUGCUUUCUUAAGCGAGUGGCGAACGGGUGAGUAACGCGUGAGGAACCUGCCUCAAAGAGGGGGACAACAGUUGGAAACGACUGCUAAUACCGCAUAAGCCCACGGCUCGGCAUCGAGCAGAGGGAAAAGGAGCAAUCCGCUUUGAGAUGGCCUCGCGUCCGAUUAGCUAGUUGGUGAGGUAAUGGCCCACCAAGGCGACGAUCGGUAGCCGGACUGAGAGGUUGAACGGCCACAUUGGGACUGAGACACGGCCCAGACUCCUACGGGAGGCAGCAGUGGGGAAUAUUGCACAAUGGGGGAAACCCUGAUGCAGCGACGCCGCGUGGAGGAAGAAGGUCUUCGGAUUGUAAACUCCUGUUGUUGAGGAAGAUAAUGACGGUACUCAACAAGGAAGUGACGGCUAACUACGUGCCAGCAGCCGCGGUAAAACGUAGGUCACAAGCGUUGUCCGGAAUUACUGGGUGUAAAGGGAGCGCAGGCGGGAAGACAAGUUGGAAGUGAAAUCUAUGGGCUCAACCCAUAAACUGCUUUCAAAACUGUUUUUCUUGAGUAGUGCAGAGGUAGGCGGAAUUCCCGGUGUAGCGGUGGAAUGCGUAGAUAUCGGGAGGAACACCAGUGGCGAAGGCGGCCUACUGGGCACCAACUGACGCUGAGGCUCGAAAGUGUGGGUAGCAAACAGGAUUAGAUACCCUGGUAGUCCACACCGUAAACGAUGAUUACUAGGUGUUGGAGGAUUGACCCCUUCAGUGCCGCAGUUAACACAAUAAGUAAUCCACCUGGGGAGUACGACCGCAAGGUUGAAACUCAAAGGAAUUGACGGGGGCCC